rnacentral:rRNA from 1 species
GACGAACGCUGGCGGCGUGCUUAACACAUGCAAGUCGAACGGCAAGGCCCUUCAGGGUACACGAGUGGCGAACGGGUGAGUAACACGUGGGUGAUCUGCCCUGCACUUCGGGAUAAGCCUGGGAAACUGGGUCUAAUACCGGAUAGGACUCCUGGCUUCAUGGUUGGGGGUGGAAAGCUUUUGCGGUGUGGGAUGGGCCCGCGGCCUAUCAGCUUGUUGGUGGGGUAAUGGCCUACCAAGGCGACGACGGGUAGCCGGCCUGAGAGGGUGACCGGUCACACUGGGACUGAGAUACGGCCCAGACUCCUACGGGAGGCAGCAGUGGGGAAUAUUGCACAAUGGGCGCAAGCCUGAUGCAGCGACGCCGCGUGAGGGAUGACGGCUUUCGGGUUGUAAACCUCUUUCAGCUAUGACGAAGCGCAAGUGACGGUAGUAGCAGAAGAAGGACCGGCCAACUACGUGCCAGCAGCCGCCGUAA